rfam:Camelus ferus unplaced genomic scaffold scaffold1378, whole genome shotgun sequence.
AGGGUAAUAGCUCAGCGGUAGAGCACGUGCUUAGCAUGCACAAGGUCCUGGGUUCAAUCCCUAGUACCUCCA